rnacentral:rRNA from 1 species
UGGGGAAUAUUGGACAAUGGGCGCAAGCCUGAUCCAGCCAUGCCGCGUGAGUGAUGAAGGCCCUAGGGUUGUAAAGCUCUUUCACCGGUGAAGAUAAUGACGGUAACCGGAGAAGAAGCCCCGGCUAACUUCGUGCCAGCAGCCGCGGUAAUACGAAGGGGGCUAGCGUUGUUCGGAUUUACUGGGCGUAAAGCGCACGUAGGCGGACUAUUAAGUCAGGGGUGAAAUCCCGGGGCUCAACCCCGGAACUGCCUUUGAUACUGGUAGUCUUGAGUUCGAGAGAGGUGAGUGGAAUUCCGAGUGUAGAGGUGAAAUUCGUAGAUAUUCGGAGGAACACCAGUGGCGAAGGCGGCUCACCGGCUCGAUACUGACGCUGAGGUGCGAAAGCGUGGGGAGCAAACAGG